AGCCGCGGAUCGGAAUCGAUGAAUCCGUCUGAUCCGUGGAACAGGAACUUCACUUUCCGUUUGUUGGUGGAGGCACUAAUUGAAUGCAAGUUCCAGUGUAUUCUCUACGUAGGGCGGUGAUUCUAACCGGAGAGAAGAAGCGCCGGCAGCGAGCCACCAUGGAGUUUCUGAUGCAGCCAAUCAGAAGUUCUGCUGUGCUAGACGAAGUAGGAGAGCUUGGUGCCAGCCCGUGUCUGGGCAUGGCGGUAUGGUGGCGGAGCAGCAACGGCCGGUGGGGAGCGCGGACACGCAGAUUAUGGCGGUGAAUGAAGAGGCGGCGAACAGGAGGGAGAACUCGCCUCCGACUUCAGAGCUUUCAAUGGGGAAGACGAAUCCCCGAGCGCCUGGAUGGAACAAGAGGUGUAGGUGGUCAGGCAAGCUUGGAACUUGGCCACAUUGAACGGACAACGGAAUCAAACCUGGGAGGUAAUUCCCAAAACAAUAUCGUUCCAGAGAAUGAGAAUAUGAUUGCUGAACAAGUGGAAAAAAUGUAUCCUUUGCAGGGCGAAGUCGCAGUACUGGAAGUGCCGAUUGUGGUGGACAGAGAUCUAUGUUAAGAGGUCUAAGAGCCGGAAAGGCAAGAAAAAGGGGAAAAGAGGGAGGAAUAAGAGGCGGAGGACAGUUUGGUUCUCAAAACAUAGUUCAAACAAUCUGUCCAAUCGAAAGCUCAAAAACCGAUGACACUAGCAGUGAUGACGGCAACAUUGCUAGUGGUGAAACAAAUGUGCAUCAACGUGUCAACCCUGGUUGGAAAUGCAUUUUGCAGAAAAACUUGGCUGAGAAGAUGCAAGGAUGGAAUGAUAAAGUUCAGUACUGCUUAAGACUGACCUGCGU